rnacentral:rRNA from 1 species
UACGUAGGGUCCAAGCGUUAAUCGGAAUUACUGGGCGUAAAGCGUGCGCAGGCGGUUUUAUAAGCCAGAUGUGAAAUCCCCGGGCUUAACCUGGGAAUGGCAUUUGGGACUGUAAGGCUAGAGUACGGCAGAGGAGACUAGAAUUCCUGGUGUAGCAGUGAAAUGCGUAGAUAUCAGGAGGAAUACCGAUGGCGAAGGCAGGUCUCUGGGUCGAUACUGACGCUCAUGCACGAAAGCGUGGGGAGCAAAC